GACGGGACCGCACAAGCGGUGGAUGAUGUGGAUUAAUUCGAUGCAACGCGAAAACCUUACCUACCCUUGACAUGUCCGGAAUCCCGAAGAGAUUUGGGAGUGCUCGCAAGAGAACCGGAACACAGGUGCUGCAUGGCUGUCGUCAGCUCGUGUCGUGAGAUGUUGGGUUAAGUCCCGCAACGAGCGCAACCCUUGUCAUUAGUUGCCAUCAUUUGGUUGGGCACUCUAAUGAGACUGCCGGUGACAAACCGGAGGAAGGUGGGGACGACGUCAAGUCCUCAUGGCCCUUAUGGGUAGGGCUUCACACGUCAUACAAUGGUCGGUACAGAGGGUUGCCAACCCGCGAGGGGGAGCUAAUCCCACAAAGCCGACCGUAGUCCGGAUCGCAGUCUGCAACUCGACUGCGUGAAGUCGGAAUCGCUAGUAAUCGUGGAUCAGCAUGUCACGGUGAAUACGUUCCCGGGUCUU
rnacentral:rRNA from 1 species